rnacentral:tRNA from 2 species
AUUUCUUUAGUAUAUAAGUACAUAUGCCUUCCAAGCAUCUAGCCCCUACAGGGAAGAAAUA